UACGGAAGGCAGCAGUGGGGAAUAUUGCACAAUGGGCGCAAGCCUGAUGCAGCCAUGCCGCGUGUAUGAAGAAGGCCUUCGGGUUGUAAAGUACUUUCAGUCGUGAGGAAGGUGUUAAGGUUAAUAACCUUAGCAAUUGACGUUAGCGACAGAAGAAGCACCGGCUAACUCCGUGCCAGCAGCCGCGGUAAUACGGAGGGUGCGAGCGUUAUUCGGAAUUAUUGGGCGUAAAGAGCGCGUAGGCUGAUUAGUAAGUUAAAAGUGAAAUCCCAAAGCUUAACUUUGGAAUUGCUUUUUAAAACUGCUAGUCUAGAGAUUGAAAGAGGAUAGAGGAAUUCCUAGUGUAGAGGUGAAAUUCGUAAAUAUUAGGAGGAACACCAGUGGCGAAAGGCGUCUAUCUGGGUUCAAAUCUGACGCUGAGGCGCGAAGGGCGUGGGGAGCAAACAGGGAUUAGAUACC
rnacentral:rRNA from 1 species